UGCAAUGAGUUCAAGCUCUGUGCUAAAACUGCAGAAACUGGUAUCAUGUCUUAGUGUUUGUAAUAGAGCUGGUGGAGUAAACACAAGAAGAGAAGCAGCUGCACCAGAGAGUUGACAGGCUGAGAUGAACCUCUUUCUUCCGUCCAGAGUGCUCUGUUCUCACGUUUAGUACAACAGUG